rnacentral:rRNA from 1 species
AUUGAACGCUGGCGGCAGGCCUAACACAUGCAAGUCGAACGAGUGGCGGACGGGUGAGUAAUGUCUGGGAAACUGCCUGCUGGAGGGGGAUAACUACUGGAAACGGUAGCUAAUACCGCAUACCAUCAGAUGUGCCCAGAUGGGAUUAGCUAGUGGGGGGGGUAACGGCGCACCAAGGCGAAGAUCACUAGCUGGUCUGUGAGGAUAACCCGCCACACUGGAACUGAGACACGGUCCAGACUCCUACGGGAGGGAGCAGUGGGGAAUAUUGCACAAUGGGCGCAAGCCUGAUGCAGUCAUGCCGCGUGCAUGAAGAAGGCCUUCGGGUUGUAAAGUACUUUCAGCGGGGAGGCGUUACCCGCAGAAGAAGCACCGGCUAACUCCGUGCCAGCAGCCGCGGUAAUUC